UGAGCAGGCCCCUCUCAACAGUGGGCCAGCUGUGGGUUUUGCUUUCUCUUUUAACAGUAAAUAAGAAGAAAUCCCUUGUCGCUCGCGAUCUAGUUUGCUUCCACGAGAGUCCACCCAACCCCACCUUUGGGGGCACACAUGACAACACUGAGCGUGGAGACUCGAACGGACCCCUGUGCACCCAUGUUUCCAGCAGCAGGAUUUGGGUGACAACCCAACCGUCCAUCAACAGAGGUCCCCCACCUUUCUCCGGCCUUCCUCCUCGUCGUCGGUGCGUGGGCACGCCUGGUCGUUCAGCAGCGGGCUGACCAAGGGAGAGGCCUGCUUGGUGUCGGGGCUCAGGCUGGGAGACAAGAUCACAUUGGCGGGCACAGCUCCUCCCUGCGAGUUGAUGGACAGCUCUGAAAGAAUUUUAAGGAGUACAACUUCAAAAGUAUCUAUGCUGAGUCCUCCACUUUACCCCCGAAGAGUUACCUGGCGAGCUCCUACGAGGCCACUCACCUAUCAUGAUUUGUCUGUAUUUGGUUCUAAAAUAUAGAUUUUAUCUCUGCAUACCCAGAA